rnacentral:rRNA from 1 species
CCUACGGGUGGCAGCAGUGAGGAAUAUUGGUCAAUGGGCGAGAGCCUGAACCAGCCAAGUCGCGUGAGGGAGUACUGCCCUAUGGGUUGUAAACCUCUUUUGUCGGGGAGCAAAAGCCGGACGUGUCCGGCUGUGAGAGUACCCGCAGAAAAAGCAUCGGCUAACUCCGUGCCAGCAGCCGCGGUAAUACGGAGGAUGCGAGCGUUACCCGGAUUUAUUGGGUUUAAAGGGUGCGCAGGCGGAUUUUUAAGUCAGCGGUAAAAUCGUGGGGCUCAACCCCAUCCAGCCGUUGAAACUGGGGAUCUAGAGUGUGCGAGAGGUAUGCGGAAUGCGUGGUGUAGCGGUGAAAUGCAUAGAUAUCACGCAGAACCCCGAUUGCGAAGGCAGCAUACCGGUGCACAACUGACGCUCAGGCACGAAAGCGUGGGUAUCGAACAGGAUUAGAUACCCUGGUAGUC